AGAACCCGAAAUCUAGUUCAUCUCCCCCAGGUCCAUCCCCGUUCUCUGUGCCUAUCUCCAAAAGUCCUUCAGUCUUGGCUACAGAUUAAAUUAUCAUCAGUGCUAGCCAUUUUGAACGUAUCUGCAAAAAGUUGAUUUCGGCAGCCAAGAGUGCAUCUGUUAAAACAAGAAUGUGUUUUGGGGAAAACCCAUUCAUCUACAUAUUGGGGAAGUGGGUAGAUUUAUGGGGUUCCUCGGAUACGUAACUUAGAAGACAACAUAUUAUUUGCUCUACUUGAUUUUGUCAGAAUUUCUAAGUGAAGGACUUCACUUCUUGGAACCAAACAAUAGUGGCUUUAACUUCAGUGUAUCGGGAGUAUUGUCACCGCUUGGCAGUUUAACAGUCAGAAAUGGACACCACUAGGAUGGUUUGGCAAAAUUUCAUUCAGUUUGAGAGGAGAACUAGUAGUUUAACGGUUAAAUGGAAAGGCUUGUAUAUCUCUUGUGACGUAUCUCUUGUGAGAUCCUACUUUGUUAGAGAGAAGAAUGAAACAUUUACUAUGAGAGUGUGGAACCUCACACUCUUCUUAACCGAUACAUUUUAAAAUGUGAUGACAGCGAUAACGUGUUUAUCGCUAAGCAGCAGACAAUAUCUGAUAGUGGUGAACUUGAGUUGAAUUAUGCAACAUCUGAUAGCGGUGGACUUGAGUUGAAUUAUGAAUAAUGUAGGGACAAAGUAGCUCUAAAUCUUUGACUCUGAGUUCAACUAUUAAGUGCUUUUAUCUGCUACUAAAUCACGGAAUCGAUUCUGUCAAGUGGAAAGAAAAAGAAUAGGAAGUUAGUGAGCCCACACCCUCCUUUUGCUAAAGUCGACUUUUCAUUCUGGUUAAAAGUUAAGAGCGUAUUUCACUUGCAAUUUCAAGCGAACAUGUUAAAAACGGGUUGCCACUGUUGGUCCAUUGAACUUUGGUUGCUCUGAGUAAACAGUUAUUUGACGAAAAUGCCCAAAGAAGAUUACAGCAUAAGGAGGCAGAAGCAAAGCCGACAUGGGUAUCAAUGGAAUUCAGAGGAAGCAAAGCAGCUGAGUAAAAUAAAGCACAGGGAACAGAGAGGGUGCCGCCAGGAUGCCACCCAUUUGGGAUCAAAGCUGUUCAAGAAUUUGAGGAAGAUUUUGAGCCAUUGAUAAUCGACCCGUACUCAUUUGGAGUAUAAUAUUUGUGUAUUGAUCAUUCAAAAUGAAUUUGAAGUAUGAUAUUGAUGGUUGUAUUGAAUUAGGUAUAGGUAUAUGAAGUCAAAAGUGGUUCAGAAUAAAAUUGCAGAGCUGAAAUGGUUGGAAAGCGGAUGUGAAGGGGCAUGCCACUACCUCACUCCUGCAUGCAUUGAUUCCACUCUGCGUUAGCUUACACAAGUAGAUAUAGAGAUGGAAGAAGAUGAGAGGCUGAUAUAGGAAGGAGUUUGUGGAACAUCAUCCAGGAUCGAGGAUUGUUGGGAGGAAGUUUCACGUCGACUAAUCAAGUAAGGAAUACAUAUCUUCAUUGGUAUUAAGCUUUUUGGGAAAAUCAGAAGUAAGAUCAUGAAGGCAGAUGCUGAAAGUGAACAAUAUCAUAUCAUCAUGAGAAUCGUGGUUUUUAACAAUAAUAGAUGAUCCUCUGUUUCUUGUUUGUACCGACUUGUCUGUUCACUUUCGAGUGCCAGCAAAUUUUAGUCCUUGACCA